AACCACAGAUCAAAUUGCCAACAUCUGUUGGAUCCUAGAAAAAGCGAGGGGAUUCCAGAAAGACAUCUACUUCUGCUUCACUGACUACGCUAAACACUUUGACUGUGUGGAUCACAACAAACUGUGCAAAAUUCUUCAAGGGAUGGGAAUUCCAGACCACCUACCUA